rnacentral:rRNA from 1 species
GAUUCUGGCUCAGAACGAACGCUGGCGGCAGGCCUAACACAUGCAAGUCGAGCGCGCCCUUCGGGGUGAGCGGCGGACGGGUUAGUAACGCGUGGGAACGUACCCUUUGGUAGGGAAUAGCCACUGGAAACGGUGAGUAAUACCCUAUGAGCCCUUCGGGGGAAAGAUUUAUCGCCAAAGGAUCGGCCCGCGUUAGAUUAGGUAGUUGGUGGGGUAAUGGCCUACCAAGCCUACGAUCUAUAGCUGGUUUUAGAGGAUGAUCAGCAACACUGGGACUGAGACACGGCCCAGACUCCUACGGGAGGCAGCAGUGGGGAAUCUUGGACAAUGGGGGCAACCCUGAAUCCAGCCAUGCCGUGUGAGUGAAGAAGGCCUUAGGGUCGUAAAGCUCUUUCGCCUGUGAAGAUAAUGACGGUAGCAGGUAAAGAAACCCCGGCUAACUCCGUGCCAGCCGCAGC